ACCCCCCUAAGUGGGAGAGUUGCCACCGGAUCCCAUAAGAACUCCGGAGUUAAGCGUGCUCAGGUGGGAGCAGUCCCCGGAUGGGUGACCUCCCUGGGAAGUCCCAAGGUACGUGUGCAUGCGUUGCGAGACGCUUGCUGUGCAUGUG
rnacentral:rRNA from 1 species